rnacentral:rRNA from 1 species
UACGUAGGCAGCGAGCGUUGUUCGGAGUUACUGGGCGUAAAGAGUGCGUAGGCGGUUUUCUAAGUUUGGUGUGAAAUCUCCCGGCUUAACUGGGAGGGUGCGCCGAAAACUGGAAGGCUUGAGUAUGGGAGAGGUAAGCGGAAUUCCUGGUGUAGCGGUGAAAUGCGUAGAUAUCAGGAGGAACACCUGCGGUGUAGACGGCUUACUGGACCAUAACUGACGCUGAGGCACGAAAAGCGUGGGUAGCAAACAGG